GUGGGGAAUAUUGGACAAUGGGCGAAAGCCUGAUCCAGCAAUGCCGCGUGAGUGAUGAAGGCCUUAGGGUUGUAAAGCUCUUUUACCAGGGAUGAUAAUGACAGUACCUGGAGAAUAAGCUCCGGCUAACUCCGUGCCAGCAGCCGCGGUAAUACGGAGGGAGCUAGCGUUGUUCGGAAUUACUGGGCGUAAAGCGCACGUAGGCGGUUACUCAAGUCAGAGGUGAAAGCCCGGGGCUCAACCCCGGAACUGCCUUUGAAACUAGGUAACUAGAAUCUUGGAGAGGUCAGUGGAAUUCCGAGUGUAGAGGUGAAAUUCGUAGAUAUUCGGAAGAACACCAGUGGCGAAGGCGACUGACUGGACAAGUAUUGACGCUGAGGUGCGAAAGCGUGGGGAGCAAACAGGAUUAGAUACCCUUGUAGUCC
rnacentral:rRNA from 1 species